rnacentral:rRNA from 1 species
UACGUAGGGUGCGAGCGUUAAUCGGAAUUACUGGGCGUAAAGCGUGCGCAGGCGGUUCGUUGUGUCUGAUGUGAAAGCCCCGGGCUCAACCUGGGAAUGGCAUUGGAAACUGGCGAGCUAGAGUGUGGCAGAGGGGGGUGGAAUUCCGCGUGUAGCAGUGAAAUGCGUAGAGAUGCGGAGGAACACCGAUGGCGAAGGCAGCCCCCUGGGCUGACACUGACGCUCGAGCACGAAGGCCAGGGGAGCAAACGGG